GCUCGCUUAGCUCAGUGGUAGAGCUUUAGACUCUUGGACGUACCCGUUUUGAGUGCAUCUAAUUGUCGCGAGUUCGAUCCUCGCAGCGGGCC